rnacentral:lncRNA from 1 species
GUGUCCAAUUCUUUGCGAUUUUUUUUUUUUUUAAUUUGGUCUACAUUACAGAAAAGUUGGGUUGUGGAGAGCAAAAGAGAAAAAGAAUGCCAUGGAGGAUAACUGAAAAGAAAAGAUGGCAGUGAAGAGGAAGGAGUUAAGUGGAGCCACAGUGUCAUGUCGCAGAACCAUUGCCCUCUUUCAGAAAUAAGGAAGAGAAGACCCAGAAUGGCAGGGAAGGGGAUAACUGCCCCAGGAGAAACAGCUUGUUGGUCUCAUGAGAGGAGUUUCCCCAUUACAGACUUCAUCUCCAGAUUAAAUAACUGAGACCUGAAGAAUGAGCAGCGGGGAGAGCCCUCUAGGAAUAAAGUUACUAUUUAAAGAAGGAGGUAGUGUCCU